UAUUUUAAUACACCUUGCUUAUUUCACUCUUCAUUGAACAAAACGCAGCAGAUACUUUAUUUUUGUUUCAAAUGGUUUGUCUUAGUAUUUUGUCCAGGUAAGAGUUAUGUUUUUUUUCAAUUCAGUUGGUCUUAAUUUUGUUCCCAGGUAACUCAAACUGAGUUUUAAAACAAUACACUCCCCCCAACCGUUUAUUUUCUUUGCACAUACACACUAGCCCCGAUCUCCUCGCUCACCACCACAGCCGUCAGUCUUGUGUCCCAGCAACCAGGUAUGGCUCUGUAUCUCUCUCUCUCUCCUUUCCACCUUGUCCUCUCCCUCCCUCUCUCACUGCCUCUGUUACAACAACAACAAUAACAAAAAAACAGAAUCUUUUUUUUUGUUCUUUUUCUUUUUUUUUUUAGUUCUAUGGUUUUCUUUGAUGUGAAGUUUGGGGUACAAAUUGUGCAAUUUUGGUGUGUUGGCUGAUUGAUAUGUGACAUUACUUUAUUGAACUAUAAUUCCCAUUAAAAAUGGGAGGAUAAUACGAUUGCCUAGAUGUCUCAAAAAGUGUGCACACAAGGUGUUCGAUAUAUUGUCCGAGAGACGAUUUCAUUCAUCCGUGAAGUCUGAGUAACCGAGCAAUAUGCGUCGAGGAUCAUGUUGCAUGGGUAAUUUCUUAGCACACAUUAUUGAUGUUUGAGACAAUAAAAUGGUAUAGUUUACAUGAUUAAAAUUGUAUUGGAAGUGAGCUCACAUGGUCAAGUUUGACAUAUACUUUGUAAUUUGAUCUUUCUGAUUUCUAAAAGAUUAAUUCUCUUUGCUAAAAGUGAUAGUAUGCAGUCUGUUUGCUGUAUACGGGUAAAAUCGAGGAUACAGGCACGCUCGGUUUCCCGUUGUCAUGGUUAUUCUCGGUCACGAUACGACCGUCUCACCGGGAACGAGGCUUCGAGCUCGGGCCGGGAUGAGGCGAUAAAGGAAGGGCGGUUGACUGCCAUAAGGAGAAGACCGAAAUAUUCACCCUCAACCGGAUAAUUCGGCGUCGAUCUCGGUAAACAGCUGUCACCAGAUUUCUUUUCUUUAUUUAGAAUUGUACUAGGGUUGAAACUCCUCUACUAUAUAAAGAGGAGGUUCUCAUCCAUUAAAGGGGUUGGAAACAAAAAGGGAGAAAGAUUUCAUAUAAAAAAUAAUAAGAAUCCUUUGAAACCAUUCCCACUUGUUCUUAAAUUCAUCUCUAUUGUUCACCUUGUAAGUACUCAACAGAGGGUGUCAACCUCGGUCUCCGUACCCGAGGCCAGACAUCGUACCCGAGGCCAGACAUACUUAAUAGUUGGUCAGAUCUGCUUCUUGAUUUACUUAUUGCCUUAUCUUGCAAUUUAAUCCAUAAUUGAAUUUAGCCACAUAUCUUUGGCAUCGCGAAUAAAUUUAAUUGUUCUCCGUUUUAAGGUUAAACAUUUGCAAAGCUCCAUCAAUCAUAAGCCUUUUUCCAAAUUGUGUGAAAAAGAACUUUAUCAUGGCAAAGCUGAAUUGUUAACAGAUGGAAAUAAGAGGUCAAGAGACAUGUGCUUGCAGUAAUACUGAACCUGGGUACGUUUUGACACAAACAUGGCUUCUAGUUCAUGGGACAACUCAAGGAGGAGUGGAACAAAUUUAUGCCUCUGCUGCACCAGUUCAAUGCAAAUCUCUUUUUCAGGGAGACGUCUAACUCUACUUCUGUUGUGUGGUUACAUUGAGGACAAUGAAACUUUUUAAGUUGGGGGGUUUUAUGUGAUUUAGAAGUGAUCGAAAAGAAACCAAGUGAAAACAAAAAGAAGCCAAAUUGAAGAAGUGGAAAAGUGGCUAAAAGUGCAAAAAUUGGACAGAUUUGUAAAUCUGAAAAUUUGGGGCUUAUUUUGUUAUUUUUUGUCACGACCCAACCAGAGGGCCAUGACGGGCACCCGGAGCUAACCUACCGAGCUUCCUCCACCCAUCUCAGUUAAAGGAGUUUGAAGUUUCUUGGGGCACGCCAAGUUCUAUCUGCACUUUAUUAAAGAUUUCUCCAAGAUAGCAAAUCCCAUGUGCAAGCUUUUUGAAAAUGAGAGGCUAAGUUCGAGUACGAUGAGAAGUGUCGCAAGGCAUUUGAUGAGUUGAAGAAGCGACUUACUUCUACUCCUAUUAUUGUUUCACUAGAUUGGUCCCUACCAUUUGGUUGAUGUGUGAUGCUAGCAGAUUUGGAAUUGGAGCGAUGCUUGGUCAGCAUCACAACAAGAUCAUGCACCCGAUUUACUAUGUAAGAAAAAUGUUGAGUCGUGCUUAAAUGAAUUAUACAGUGAAGAGUGUCACCAACUUUCUUAAGAAGAACAUUUUCACUCGAUUUGGCACCCCACGAGCUAUCGUUAGUGACGGUGGUAUGCACUUAUGUAACAAGGAGUUCACGGUACUGCUUGAAAAGUAUCGUGUCAAGCAUCGGGUGGCCACUCCAUAUCAUCCUCAGAAUAGUGGUCAGGUGGAAGUCUCCAAUCGGGAGACAAGGAGUAUUUUGGCCAAAACGAUCAAUGCAAACCGGACCGACUGGUCUCGAAAACUUGAUGAUGCUCUUUGGGCUUACAGAACGGCAUUUAAAACGCCCAUUGGAACUUCCCCUUAUAGGCUGGUGUUUGGCAAGGAAUGCCAUCUGCCAGUUGAACUUGAACACAAGGCCUCGUAGGCGUUAAAGAAGUUAAAUAUGAAUGGGUAGAGGAAGCCAAGCUGAGGUUGUUUCAAAUUACUGAAAUGGAUGAGUUCAUGUACCACGCAUAUGAGAGUGCAGCCUUGUACAAGGAGCAGAUGAAAUACUAUCAUGAUGUAUAGAUUCUCAAGCGGGACUUUCAGAAAGGCGAUUAUGUCCUGCUGUAUAAUUCAAGGCUAAAACUCUUUUCGGGGCAAAUUCAAAUCCGGAUAGUCCGGGCCUUGCUAAGUGGUAAAUGUUUCACCCAAUGGCUCAAUGGAGUUGUAUUCUGGAGAUGGAACUAGGACAUUUAAGGUGAAUGGCCAGAGAGUGAAGCAUUACCUUUGGUGUAUUGAUGGAGACAGGAUCGUUGACAGACACGGGCUGAAGCAUGGCUACACUCCUGACCCGGAGUAAAACGAUAAUACAGUUGUGUCGCGACGUUAAAUCAAGCGCUUUUUGGGUGGCAACCCAUGUUUACAUUUUGCAUAGUUUUUUAUUUUUUAGAUUGUUUUGAUGUUUGUUGUGUCUAGGAUUCAACAAAGUUGGAGAAUGACAGAAGUGGAGAAAACUGCAGAAAA